rnacentral:rRNA from 1 species
GAUGAACGCUGGCGGCGUGCCUAAUACAUGCAAGUCGAGCGAACAGACGAGGAGCUUGCUCCUUCGACGUUAGCGGCGGACGGGUGAGUAACACGUAGGUAACCUACCUAUAAGACUGGGAUAACUUCGGGAAACCGGAGCUAAUACCGGAUAAUAUUUCGAACCGCAUGGUUCGAUAGUGAAAGAUGGCUUUGCUAUCACUUAUAGAUGGACCUGCGCCGUAUUAGCUAGUUGGUAAGGUAACGGCUUACCAAGGCAACGAUACGUAGCCGACCUGAGAGGGUGAUCGGCCACACUGGAACUGGGGCACGGUCCAGACUCCUACGGGAGGCAGCAGUAGGGAAUCUUCCGCAAUGGGCGGAAGCCUGACGGAGCAACGCCGCGUGAGUGAUGAAGGUCUUCGGAUCGUAAAACUCUGUUAUUAGGGAAGAACAAACGUGUAAGUAACUGUGCACGUCUUGACGGUACCUAAUCAGAAAGCCACGGCUAACUACGUG